ACACCGGCAGCUCGAGUGGUAGCUGUUUUUAUUGGGCCUAAAGCGUCCGUAGCCGGUCUGAUAAGUCUCUGGUGAAAUCCCGCAGCUUAACUGUGGGAAUUGCUGGAGAUACUAUCAUGACUCGAGGUCGGGAGAGGCUGGAGGUACUCCACGGGGCGGGGUGAAAUGCUGUAAUCCUGGGAGGACCACCUGUGGCGAAGGCGUCCAGCUGGAACGAACCUGACGGUGAGGGACGAAAGCCAGGGGCGCGAACCGGAUUAGAUACCCGGGUAGUCCUGGCCGUAAACGAUGUGGACUUGGUGUUGGGAUGGCUUCGAGCUGCCCCAGUGCCGAAGGGAAGCUGUUAAGUCCACCGCCUGGGAAGUACGGCCGCAAGGCUGAAACUUAAAGGAAUUGACGGGG
rnacentral:rRNA from 1 species